UGUGCAGUUGCUUCGUUUGUCUAAAAUACAUCUUCUCACUCGUAUAUUAACACAAACACUAGAAAUUAAGAGUACAUAGAGAUGGCUAAACUCAACAAGACUACUUUUCUUGCUCUCUUCUUCUGCUUCCUCAUUUUUGCAGCCUAUGAGAUGCAAACGGGGGAGGCAAAAAAACCUUGCAGAAAACUUAGCAAAGAAUGGCAUGGGUUGUGUGCUCCUCAUAAAUGCAGUAGUUACUGUAUUCACCACGAGGGGGCUUACCAUGGUGCUUGUCUGAAAAAUCACCAGAAUAAGCAUUUUGGUUGCUACUGCUACUACCGUCAUUGCUAAUCAAUGAAACUUAUAUAUAGUAAUGUCGUCUGUUAUUACAUAGUUCUAUGUACUUGUUGGAGGUCACGCCUUGUGCCUGUCUGCAAGUUUGUACUGUGUUUAUGUUUCCAAUAAUAUUGCAAUCCUCGAGUGCUUUCGUUUUAAAAAAUAAAAGCUCCCUGUGUGAGCUCUUGCAGCAAGUUGUAUCUAUCAGUUCUUGUUACUUUGUUGUAUUUGUAUUACCUUAAUAAUGAAGAUUGUUAAGUUUCUUGUA